rnacentral:rRNA from 1 species
UGCAGUCGACGGAAGGNCCUUCGGGGUACUCGAGUGGCGAACGGGUGAGUAACACGUGGGUGAUCUGCCCUGCACUUUGGGAUAAGCCUGGGAAACUGGGUCUAAUACCGAAUAGGACCACGCGCUUCAUGGUGUGUGGUGGAAAGCUUUUGCGGUGUGGGAUGGGCCCGCGGCCUAUCAGCUUGUUGGUGGGGUAAUGGCCUACCAAGGCGACGACGGGUAGCCGGCCUGAGAGGGUGACCGGCCACACUGGGACUGAGAUACGGCCCAGACUCCUACGGGAGGCAGCAGUGGGGAAUAUUGCACAAUGGGCGCAAGCCUGAUGCAGCGACGCCGCGUGAGGGAUGACGGCCUUCGGGUUGUAAACCUCUUUCAAUAGGGACGAAGCGCAAGUGACGGUACCUAUAGAAGAAGCACCGGCCAACUACGUGCCAGCAGCCGCGGUAAUACGUAGGGUGCGAGCGUUGUCCGGAAUUACUGGGCGUAAAGAGCUCGUAGGUGGUUUGUCGCGUUGUUCGUGAAAACUCACAGCUUAACUGUGGGCGUGCGGGCGAUACGGGCAGACUAGAGUACUGCAGGGGAGACUGGAAUUCCUGGUGUAGCGGUGGAAUGCGCAGAUAUCAGGAGGAACACCGGUGGCGAAGGCGGGUCUCUGGGCAGUAACUGACGCUGANGAGCGAAAGCGUGGGGAGCGAACAGGAUUAGAUACCCUGGUAGUCCACGCCGUAAACGGUGGGUACUAGGUGUGGGUUCCUUCCUUGGGAUCCGUGCCGUANCUAACGCAUUAAGUACCCCGCCUGGGGAGUACGGCCGCAAGGCUAAAACUCAAAGGAAUUGACGGGGGCCCGCACAAGCGGCGGANCAUGUGGAUUAAUUCGAUGCAACGCGAAGAACCUUACCUGGGUUUGACAUGCACAGGACGCCGGCANANAUGUCGGUUCCCUUGUGGCCUGUGUGCNNGUGGUGCAUGGCUGUCGUCAGCUCGNGUCNUGANAUGUUGGGUUAAGUCCCGCAAC